GUGCAUCUGUGGCAUCACAAUUCACAGUCCAAAACUUCAUUUCGGGAAAUUCUUGGUUGCCAGGCACCAAUGUCCCCUUCACUCCUGGUCUUUAAUUAAAUUUUUCCAGCGGUAUUGGAUGUCACAUUGUUAUUUUAUGGGUACUAACUCACUUCCUUGUGGAACUAAAAUAAAUUCCCACUGUCCAAAACAUAAGAAAAUAAGGGGUUGGUUGUGGGAUUUUU
rnacentral:misc_RNA from 1 species